UACGGAGGGUGCGAGCGUUGUCCGGAAUCACUGGGCGUAAAGGGCGCGUAGGCGGUUUGCUAAGUCACUUGUGAAAUCCCGGUGCUCAACGCCGGGGCCGCAGGUGAGACUGGCAGACUGGAGCUCGGUAGAGGCGAAUGGAAUUCCCGGUGUAGCGGUGGAAUGCGUAGAUAUCGGGAGGAACACCAGUGGCGAAGGCGACUUCCUGGCCUGUUCUUGACGCUGAGGCGCGAAAGCUAGGGGAGCAAACGGG
rnacentral:rRNA from 1 species